rnacentral:rRNA from 1 species
GAUGAACGCUAGCGGCAGGCCUAACACAUGCAAGUCGAACGAUAUUUUCCAGCUUGCUGGGAGAGAAAGUGGCGCACGGGUGCGUAACGCGUAUGCAACCUACCUUUAUCAGGGGGAUAGCCCGGAGAAAUCCGGAUUAAUACCGCAUAAAAUCACAGAACGGCAUUGUUCAAUGAUCAAACAUUUAUGGGAUAAAGAUGGGCAUGCGUGUCAUUAGCUAGUUGGCGGGGUAACGGCCCACCAAGGCGACGAUGACUAGGGGAUCUGAGAGGAUGGCCCCCCACACUGGUACUGAGACACGGACCAGACUCCUACGGGAGGCAGCAGUAAGGAAUAUUGGUCAAUGGAGGCAACUCUGAACCAGCCAUGCCGCGUGCAGGAAGACCGCCCUAUGGGUUGUAAACUGCUUUUAUCCGGGAAUAAACCUCCGAUCGUGAUCGGAGCUGAAUGUACCGGAAGAAUAAGGAUCGGCUAACUCCGUGCCAGCAGCCGCGGUAA